UCCACUCUGCUCCUCCUCCUUUUCCUCUGUGCAAUUGCUACUCUUGCCUUGCUUGGAAGUGUCAUUUCUCUGUUUGAUUAGUUUUUCAACUUUUAUCUGCGCUUCUCUUUCUUCUCCAAUGUCAGAUCUAUAUGUUUUGCUGAGUUGCUUCAAUCUUUUAAAGCAUAAAGUAAGCUUCUCUGGUGGUCUCUGAUGGCACCAAAAAGGGUUUCUCAUAUUUACUUUGAUUCUCUCUCCCUUGUUGACUCCUUUGAACUGCAAGCUCUUUAUUUUGAUUAUCGAGAAUUUAUUAGGAUUAUGAGAGUUCCCUUGAAGCUCAAUUGAGUUCCACUGCUUUAGUGCUUUUGCUGUGACUUUUGGCUUGAAUGGGCUGCAUGGAAGCAAUUAGGUAUCCACUCCUAAUUCUAUGGUUUCGUGGUGUUAUUGUCAAGGAUGUAAAGAUUAUGCAUGAAAGGUUUCACCCAAAAGUUGGCCAGCUACAUGCUAAGGUGGUAAAUUUCAAUGUUACUAUCUUAGUUGAGUUAUUCGGGCCUCGAUGUGUAACUGACAAGCUCGGACACCCACAUAGAAAAAGACAACUACAAUCUUCAAUGGUCUUGCUACCAAUGCAGUUGCUGAUGUCGAUGCUCAAAAGUUCCUUGCAC